rnacentral:rRNA from 1 species
AGAGUUUGAUCCUGGCUCAGAGUGAACGCUGGCGGCGUGCCUAAUACAUGCAAGUCGAACGGAGAUUGUAGCAAUACGAUCUUAGUGGCGAACGGGUGAGUAACGCGUUGAUGACCUGCCCCGAAGAGUGGGAUAAUGGUUCGAAAGGACCACUAAUACCGCAUGUGAUCCCGGAGAUUAGAAGUCCGGGAUGAAAGGAGAAAUUCGCUUCGGGAGGGAUCUGCGUCCCAUCAGCUAGUUGGUAAGGUAACGGCCUACCAAGGCGAUGACGGGUAGGGGACCUGAGAGGGUGGCCCCCCACAAUGGAACUGAAACACGGUCCAUACACCUACGGGUGGCAGCAGUAGGGAAUAUUGGUUAAUGUGCGAAAGCGCGAACCAGCAACGCCGCGUGUGCGAUGAAGGCCUUCGGGUCGUAAAGCACUUUUUGCAGGGACGAGGAAGGACGGUACCUGCAGAAUAAGUCUCGGCUAACUACGUGCCAGCAGCCGCGGUAA